UGUCCGACGCACAGGACCCCUGACGACGAUGUGCUCGAGCCACACACUUCGUGUGCCAGACGCCGCCUCCACUCACCGUGUUGGCAUGAAGGUUUUUUUGUGAGUGUGUGCUAGCUCAGCCCCGCUGUGCUUCGCACUACCAGGGGGGGAGAGGGGGGCAGAGCUGUGGCUUCUCUGAUGCGAAGUGACAGUUCUUUGACUAUGCUCUUUAGCUUUAUCUUCUAGUCUUUGCGUUCUCCCACUAUGUUCGACAGCCAUCUUUCUGUAUUCGCUCUAUAAAGUGACGAAAUAAACGUCGUUUCGAUCCUAAAAACAACAGCUGCUUGAAGAAGGCGAUCAAUUCUGUAAUGGCGUCAGGCAGUGCCCUGGGAUCAGCCUAUUGAGGAAGGACCACCUCACUCAUGAGCUGGCAAUAAGAUGCCAGCCUAUUGAGGGUAGUGUUCUGGACUUAGCAGCCCCCUUGCG